AGAAAUGACGAGUAGAAAAGCUGUAAAAUUUAUAGGUGCGACGUCUUGAAGUGACAAAUAACAUAAUUUAAGAGACUGAAACUUCGAACUGCAGUAAUAAGUAAUACAAAAGAGCUCGCGGUGUUUCAGAAGUUGAAACAAUGCACUCCCGACCCACAGGUUCAGGGAUUUGUGAUGGACUUUUAGAAAGGUGCCUGGAAAGCGAUCUGUCAGGAAUUUCCUGACACAAACAUCAAAGGAUGCGCCUUCCACUUCAGCCAGGCGGUGUGGCGCAAGACUAAGGAGCUGGGACUGAAGACCACGUAUAGCCUCCGUGGACAGGAGUUCCGCUACAUAAGAAGUCUAAUGGCAUUGCCAUUUCUUCCGGCUGCUGACAUCCUGCCAGCAUUUCACCAACUUGAGACAAGGGCAGCAUCGCCUCAGCUGAAAUAACUGAUAAACUAUAUCAGUGGAAGCUGGCUAGGAAAUCUGUUGUGGAAACCAGUCAAUUGGAACAUCUACAACCUGACGAUC